rnacentral:hammerhead_ribozyme from 1 species
AUCCAUCUGACGAGUCCCAAACAAGACGAAGUAUCGUGCGCCCUGGAU